UCACCGGGCAGAGCCCGCCUCGGGGACACCGCGCGGAUCAGCCCCGACCUGUCACCGCCCCGCCCCCCUGUGCGGGAAACAGGCCUGCCCGGGCCGCCGGGGGCCGCGGAGGUGACGGACACACAGCUGGGGAGCUGGACGGACAGACACAUGGCCGGGGAGCUGGACGGCUCCAUGCUGGACGGACAGACACAUGGCCGGGGAGCUGGACGGCGUUGUGCUGGACGGACAGACACACGGCUGGAUAGCUGGACGGCUCCGUGCUGGACGGACAGACACAGAGCUGGGUAGCUGGACGGCUCCGUGCUGGACGGACAGACACACGGCUGGGGAGCUGGACGGCGUUGUGCUGGACGGACAGACACACGGCUGGGGAGCUGGACGGCUCCGUGCUGGACGGACAGACACAGGGCUGGGGAGCUGGACGGCUCCAUGCUGGACGGACAGACACACGGCUGGGGAGCUGGACGGCGUUACACAGGGCUGGGGAGCUGGACGGCUCCAUGCUGGACGGACAGACACACGGCUGGGGAGCUGGAUGGCUUGGUGCUGGACAGACAGACACACAGCUGGGGAGCUAGAUGUCUGGCUGGAUGGACAGACACACGGCUGGGGAGCUGGACAGACAGACACACAGCUGGGGUGCUGGACGGCUCCAUGCUGGACGGACAGACACACGGCUUGGGAGCUGGAUGGCUCCGUGCUGGACAGACAGACACAUGGCUGGGAAGCUAGAUGUCUGGCUGGAUGGACAGACACACGGCUGGGAAGCUGGACGGCUCAAUGCUGGACAGACAGACACACAGCUGGGGUGCUGGACGGCUCCGUGCUGGACGGACAGACACACGGCUGGGUAGCUGGACUGCUCGGUGCUGGACGGACGGACACAUGGCUGGGUAGCUAAAUGGAUGGCUGGACGGACAGACACACGGCUGGGUAGCUGGAUGGCUGGGUAGAUGUGUAUUGUUGUGGAGCCCUGUCGCUCCCAGGAUGUUACAGACAUUAGUUUGGUGAGAGAUGAGCUUCAGAACUCUUCCUCAGAUCUGGGACAGGAAUUCCAAUCUGUGACACUCUGAGUAAGUUUCCCAGACCUCCAGAAGAGCUCUGGGUGUCUCAGAGGCAUGUGUCUCUCACAACAAAAUAUAUUACCUCACCCAGCUUGUCUCUCACAUGAAUAGAUGGAUGGACAGAGGAAUAAAUGAAUAAUAGGCAGACAGAUAAAUGGACGGAUGGAUCAGAUAAAGAGGGAAUAGAUCAGAUAGAUUGCAGAUUAACUAAAGUACAUUUGGGAUGAACUGGUAAAUGGAAUAAAGUUUGGAUGGACAGAUAGAUUGGACAAAGCUCGGAGGAAUAGAAAGGUAGAUGGAUAGAUUUAGAUAUAGUUAAAAGUAGGAAAAACAGAUUAGGUAAUGUCAGGAUAGCUUUAAAUAGACAACAAUACUUAGUCCUUAAAUUGUAUUACUUUGCAAAGAUGAGACUGUCUUUAUUCCCCACUUUUAGAAAUAGGGAAAUUGAGGCACAGAGAGGGGAAGUGACUUGCCAGUGGUUGCUCAGAAGUUAGUAGCAGAGCCAGAAAUAGAACGUAAGUCUGUAUCCAAAGCUGCCCCUAGGCUAUACAAAGCCGCACUCAUUGG